rnacentral:rRNA from 1 species
GACGAACGCUGGCGGCGUGCCUAAUACAUGCAAGUAGAACGCACAGUUUAUACCGUAGCUUGCUACACCAUAAACUGUGAGUUGCGAACGGGUGAGUAACGCGUAGGUAACCUUCCUGGUAGCGGGGGAUAACUAUUGGAAACGAUAGCUAAUACCGCAUAAUAUUAAUUAUUGCAUGAUAAUUGAUUGAAAGAUGCAAUUGCAUCACUACCAGCUGGACCUGCGUUGUAUUAGCUAGUAGGUGAGGUAACGGCUCACCUAGGCGACGAUACAUAGCCGAGCUGAGAGGGUGAUCGGCCACACUGGGACUGAGACACGGCCCAGACUCCUACGGGAGGCAGCAGGAGGGAAUCUUCGGCAAUGGACGAAAGGCUGACCGAGCAAAGCCGCGGGAGUGAAGAAGGUUUUCGGAUCGUAAAGCUCUGUUGUAAGAGAAGAACGGGUGUGAGAGUGGAAAGUUCACACUGUGACGGUAUCUUAACAGAAAGGGACGGCUAACUACGCG